rnacentral:lncRNA from 1 species
CUCCUGAGUUAAAUCCCCGGUAUUAAAAAAAAAAAAAAGAUUACUGGGUAGAACACAUUUUUGAAAUGUUAUGAGGGAAUUCUGCAAAAAGGUAAAGAAAUUAAUCUUAACUUUAUGAAAGGGGGAAGUCUACAGAGAGAUGGGAAUGUAAAUCAGUUUGAUUGGAGGUAAAGGAAUUUCUGGUUGCUGAUGUAUUUUCACUAAGAUAGGGAAAAGGUCUCAAUUUUUAAGGUGCAGUUAACAAGCCAGAUGCAAUGGUGCAUACCUGUAUUCCCAGCAAUUCAGGAGCCUGAGGCAGGAGGAACAUAAGUUCAAAGCCAGCAUCUUAGCAAGGUCCCAAUCAAUUCAGCAAGACCCUGUCUCUAAAUAAAUAUGAAAAAGGACUGGGUGUGUGGCUCAGUGGUUAAGCACCACUGGGUUCAAUCCCUAGUACCAAAAAAAAAAAAAAGAUUCAGUUAACAGCCCUUUCUAUUCAGGUGACAAAAACUUAAUCAUAGUGGCUUCAAAUCUUUGCUUCUAGAAUUGUUUUUUGUUUGUUUGUUUGUUUGUUUUUUGUUUUUGUUUUUGUUUUUUUCUUUUUAAGGAAAGCAGGAGUUAAUUCCUUAUUGUUUCAUUAAGAAUUCUUCACUUUUAUCAGUUUUGCAUAUUUGAAAUCUGUUACUUUAGCUUUUUUAAGGAAAGGAUUUGCUGAUGAAUUAAACUUUGAGAACUACUCAAGGACAGAGAGAAAGAUCAUUUUUAAUAGAGUGAAAAGUCUAAAAUGAGACUGGAAAGAAAUGUAGGAUUGGAACAGGUAUAUGAAGGUAGAAGGAAAUAAGUAAGGAAAAAAGCAUACACUGCGGCAAGAAGGCAUGAGAGGACAUAACGUGCUGUCUGUACUACUAUAAGUAGUAUUUUUCAACUUCAUUCUCUGUUUUUUUACUAGUGUGUAGAAAUACAACUGACUUGUAUAUUGGCCUCGUAUCUUGCAAUUUUGCUCCGUUUACUUAUUUUUAGUAGUUUUGUUAUCCAACCAUGUUAUCUGUACAUGAUUACCAUGUUAUAUUUUUCUUUUCCAAUUAUAACACCUUUUAUUUUUUUUUUUACACUGCAGUGCUACAUAGCAUGGUUCAAUA